CCCCGGGGGCUCUCGGCGAAGGAAGCAGAGGGCGCCACACCUUCCGCCACCGUGCGAAUCUGAGUUGUGGGGUGAUCGCAACAGUAGGUAGGUAGGAGAAAUUCAAUCCCAGUGGCUGCGCCACGGUCUCUCAUGAAUGAUACAGAAUUUGCACGACCAUAAGAAAGCCAAUGAAGACGGAGACCUUUACAAGGAAACACUAAGGCUCGGAACAGAUUAUUCCAACAACAAGAAGCACGAGCUUGGAAACGUUUCAACUCCUCACCACUUCCAAUCCGCAGAUUUUUGCGUCUAGAAGUCUUGAAUCUAGAAGUCGCUGGGGAGUGGUGCAUGCUCUGAGGACAGGUAGGCGUAGGUGUAGACAAGGCCGGCCAGGCCGCCGCCGAUAAGCGGGCCAACCCAGUAGACCCAGUGGCCCGAAAAGUCGCCGCUGACGACGGCGGGUCCGAAGGAGCGAGCAGGGUUCAUGGAUCCACCGGAGAAGGGGCCGGCGGCGAGGAUGUUGGCACCGACGAUGAAGCCGAUGGCGAUGGGGGCGAUGGUUCCUACUGAACCCUUCUUGGGAUCCACUGCGGUGGCGUAGACGGUGUACACGAGACCGAAGGUGAUGACGAUCUCGAGCACGACUCCCUCCAGGGCUCCUACUCCGGCGCCCAGUGAGUGGGUAGGGAUGGCCUGCACGAGCGACAAGUGAGACGAAGCGCUGUGGUGUUGGAACUGCGCGAGACGGUGCUCGGUGGUUUCCCGCUUACCAGGCCGCCGGUGACCAGCUUCAGGAGCAGGGAGGCAACGAUGGCGCCAACGAGCUGUGCAACCCAGUAGAAGAUACCGGUAAGGAUGGUGAUUUGCCCGCCGAGGGCCAGGCCAAAGGUGACGGCGGGGUUGACGUGACCGCCGGAAAUGUUGGCGCCGACGGCAACGGCGACGAACAGAGCGAAUCCAUGGGUAACCGCGACGGCCACCAGUCCGGCGGGGUCGAGGGCCGCGUCGGAAGUCAACUUCCCUGCACAUGGUCAACGUCUUCAGCCAGAAUCACCACGCAGGAAACAAAAGUCAGACCGCUCCACGGGUGCAACGAGGGAACCCAACCGUAGGCUAUGGCCGACCCGACUCCGGCGAAGACGAAGAGCAAGGUGGAGAUGAACUCCGCGAUGUAGGACUUGAUAGAGGUGACGCUGAAGGAGUCAUCGAAGCGGCCGAAGGCGAUUCCAGCCAUGGCGAGGCUCGCUCUUGCUCCCGACCGGCGCUAAACUCAGUGAGGGAAGAAGAUGAAGCUCAG
rnacentral:lncRNA from 1 species